UACGUAGGCAGCAAGCGUUGUUCGGAGUUACUGGGCGUAAAGGGUGUGUAGGCGGUUCUUUAAGUUUGGUGUGAAAUCUCCCGGCUCAACUGGGAGGGUGCGCCGAAUACUGAAUGACUUGGAGUGCGGGAGAGGAGAGUGGAAUUCCUGGUGUAGCGGUGAAAUGCGUAGAUAUCAGGAGGAACACCGGUGGUGUAGACGGCUCUCUGGACCGUAACUGACGCUGAGACACGAAAGCGUGGGUAGCAAACAGG
rnacentral:rRNA from 1 species